rnacentral:lncRNA from 1 species
CUUAUACCUGCUACAGUCGGUCAAUCAGUUACUACUGACAGCUACGAAAGAACGAAUUGACUUCUUACCUCACUAUGACACACUGGUUAAAAGUGGCAUGUAUGAAUAUUAUGCCAGUGAAGGACAAAAUCCUUUGCCAUUUGCUCUUGCGGAAUUAAUUGACAAUUCAUUGUCUGCUACUUCUCGUAACAUUGGGGUUAGAAGAAUACAGAUCAAAUUGCUUUUUGAUGAAACACAAGGAAAACCUGCUGUUGCAGUGAUAGAUAAUGGAAGAGGAAUGACCUCUAAACAGCUUAACAACUGGGCCGUGUAUAGGUUGUCAAAAUUCACAAGGCAAGGUGACUUUGAAAGUGAUCAUUCAGGAUAUGUUCGUCCAGUACCAGUGCCACGCAGUUUAAAUAGUGAUAUUUCCUAUUUUGGUGUUGGGGGCAAGCAAGCUGUCUUCUUUGUUGGACAAUCAGCCAGAAUGAUAAGCAAACCUGCAGAUUCCCAAGAUGUUCACGAGCUUGUGCUUUCUAAAGAAGAUUUUGAGAAGAAGGAGAAAAAUAAAGAGGCAAUAUAUAGUGGAUAUAUUAGAAACAGAAAGCCCUCUGAUUCUGUUCACAUUACAAAUGAUGAUGAAAGAUUUCUACAUCAUCUUAUCAU